rnacentral:rRNA from 1 species
UAGAUACCCGGGUAGUCCGUGCCGUAAACGAUGAGGACUAGUUGUCCGGAGCUUGACUCUGGGUAGCAAAGCUAACGCAUUAAGUCCUCCGCCUGGGGAGUACUGCCGCAAGGUAGAAACUUAAAUGAAUUGACGGGGACCCGCACAAGCGGUGGAGCAUGUGGUUUAAUUCGAUGCUACGCGCAGAACCUUACCAAGCCUUGACAUCCUUGGACCGCCAGAGAGAUUUGGUUUUCUCGUAAGAGACCUAGUGACAGGUGCUGCAUGGCCGCCGUC